rnacentral:rRNA from 1 species
GGUGNGCGGCGAACGGGUGAGUAACACGUAGGUGAUCUGCCCAUCAGACGGGGACAACGAUUGGAAACGAUCGCUAAUACCGGAUAGGACGAAAGUUUAAAGGUGCUUCUGGCACCGCUGAUGGAUGAGCCUGCGGCGCAUUAGCUAGUUGGUAGGGUAAAGGCCUACCAAGGCGACGAUGCGUAGCCGACCUGAGAGGGUGAACGGCCACACUGGGACUGAGACACGGCCCAGACUCCUACGGGAGGCAGCAUG